CAAAUUAUAAAGUAGGAAUCCAAGUUGAUAUAACCAAGUUGAAAUGUUUUGUUUGGUAGUUCCCUCAAAAUAAUUCUAGUGAGAGAGAAAAAAAGUUGAAGGUUUCGUACAAAUUUGGAAAUGUAUAAUACUAAUCCCUCAAUAAUGGGCAUGGCAGAUGGGUCAAAAGCAGCCAGAAUAGUGUUUGGUGUAUGGCAUUAUAAAAUCAAAACACAUCCCUUGAAAAACAAACCAAAGGAAAAGAAAAAGUGACAAAUGAAGUCUCCAAUGUUGGCCUUGGUUUUAGUUUCAUUAACCUUCUUUUUCUUUAGCUUCCCAAAUCUCUCUACAUCAGCAGCCCAGCGUCACCCAUUGCCUUCUCUUUAUCACACAAGAAUUGUUCCUCUUCUGCAACCAUCACGGUCGUCACUUUUGCCAUCGUAUGAAUAUGAACUGCAAGCAAGGAGAAGGAGAAGGCGGUUAAGUUCUCCGCCUCCGCCACUACCACGGCCACCACCGCCCAGGUUCCAGUGGCCAAGAAGACAAACCCGUAGAUCUCCUCCACCUCCUUUCUAACACACACUACGACACUGUUUCCAAGCAUAUAAAUCACAAAGGCAAAGGUAAUAUGAUAGGUAGACCGAUGAUGGGCGAGAAAGACUUGUGAUCGCCAUAUGGGAACACUCUUUCAAAUGCUCUGCUUAAUGUUUUUUUUUUACUGUCUUUUAAGUUUUGAUGAUUGAAAUGAGUUUCAUGUUUAAAACAAAUGUUUGUUUCUCGGUGACUUUAUAAAUGAUACUUUUGAACUUUUAUUUUGUUAGAAAUAGGACCUGAAUAAAGUUUCUUUGAUGUCUAUUUGAUUUUAAACAGAUUCUAUGAA